UUGAACGCUGGCGGCAGGCCUAACCCAUGCAAGUCGAGCGGAUGAAGGGAGCUUGCUCCUGGAUUCAGCGGCGGACGGGUGAGUAAUGCCUAGGAAUCUGCCUGGUAGUGGGGGAUAACGUCCGGAAACGGGCGCUAAUACCGCAUACGUCCUGAGGGAGAAAGUGGGGGAUCUUCGGACCUCACGCUAUCAGAUGAGCCUAGGUCGGAUUAGCUAGUUGGCGGGGUAAAGGCCUACCAAGGCGACGAUCCGUAACUGGUCUGAGAGGAUGAUCAGUCACACUGGAACUGAGACACGGUCCAGACUCCUACGGGAGGCAGCAGUGGGGAAUAUUGGACAAUGGGCGAAAGCCUGAUCCAGCCAUGCCGCGUGUGUGAAGAAGGUCUUCGGAUUGUAAAGCACUUUAAGUUGGGAGGAAGGGCAGUAAGUUAAUACCUUGCUGUUUUGACGUUACCAACAGAAUAAGCACCGGCUAACUUCGUG
rnacentral:rRNA from 1 species